AGCGAACGCUGGCGGCAGGCCUAACACAUGCAAGUCGAACGAACCCUUCGGGGUUAGUGGCGGACGGGUGAGUAACACGUGGGAACGUGCCUUUAGGUUCGGAAUAACUCAGGGAAACUUGUGCUAAUACCGAAUGUGCCCUUCGGGGGAAAGAUUUAUCGCCUUUAGAGCGGCCCGCGUCUAAUUAGCUAGUUGGUGAGGUAAUGGCUCACCAAGGCUACGAUCAGUAGCUGGUCUGAGAGGAUGACCAGCCACAUUGGGACUGAGAAACGGUCCAAACUCCUACGGGAGGCAGCAGUGGGGAAUCUUGCGCAAUGGGCGAAAGCCUGACGCAGCCAUGCUGCGUGGAUGAUGAAGGUCUUAGGAUUGUAAAAUCCUUUCACCGGUGAAGAUAAUGACUGUAGCCGGAGAAGAAGCCCCGGCUAACUUCGUGCCAGCCGCCGCCGUAACAC
rnacentral:rRNA from 1 species